AUGGACCAGCACAAGGAGCUGGAGGUGGAUGUGGAGGGAGAGCCGACGGAUCAGCGCAAGGAGGAGGAGGUGGCCGGCAAGCCUGAAGAAUCAGCGGGUCAGCGCAAGGAGGAGGAGGAGGAGCGGGAGGAGGGAGACAGUCUCAGAGAGCCAACGGAUCAGAGCAAGGAGGAAGAGAAGGAGGACAAGUCUGAAGAGCUGACGGAACAGCACAAGGCGGAGGCGGUGGCGGUUGCGGUGGUGGUGGCGGAGGUGGACAAGCCUGAAGAGCUCACCGACCAGCGCAAGGAGGAGGCGGGGGCGGUUGCGGUGGACAAGUCUGAAGAGCUCACCGACCAGCGCAAGGAGGAGGCGGGGGCGGUUGCGGUGGACAAGUCUGAAGAGCUCACCGACCAGCGCAAGGAGGAGGCAGGGGAGGAGAAGGACAAGGAGACGGAGAGGAGCUCCGGCGAGGAGUCGCCGUCGCUUUUCAUGCACCCGUGCUCGCUGCUGCUGCGGUACCUCGGCCGUGCCUACGCGUGGUGCAUGGGCCUGGCCGACUGGUUCGGCGGCGGCACAAGGCCGAGCGCCGCUCCUGCCGCAUCUCUUAACUCGUCACGGGAAGAAGCAGGCGAGGCGGCGGACAUCGGUACCAGGGAGAUCUCCAAGACCACCUCUGGCAGAGGGUUCUACAUGCGGGAGGUGAUCAUGCGCGUGAGGGCGGUGAGGAGGCCGCGGCCGCCCGGCAACCCGAGGGAAGGGCGCGGCGGCGGUGGAGGAAGCCACAACUAG
rnacentral:rRNA from 1 species